ensembl:antisense Lrrc8dos leucine rich repeat containing 8D, opposite strand
GAUCUUCAACAUCGAAAACUAAAAGCAAAAGACAGCAACAAAACCCCACGAGUCAAGUAGGUCAUUGGUGUCUGCUGCUCUUAAGCUCUUGUUCCAGCCUGUCCCAGUCUCCAGCAGGUACAACUCUCUAGAGAGAGCCACAUCUGGCCAGGACCAGACAGGACCACUCUGUGUGGUAGUCCUAAGUUAGAGGACAUUCGGGGAACUUGUUUCCACGGUUUUGUUCUUUUUAUGAAAGAGCUUUUGCUUUGCCCAGCCUUUGUUUGGGGAGUUCAGCUAAUAAAGGGGCCAUUUUGCUGGAAUGAAUUACUGAUGAAAGUCCUGCUGGGAUUGGCAGGAGGACGGCCCUCUGGCCUCUCUUCAGCAAGGCCGCCAAGACUGUAAAGUCUGCUGUGGGAUUCGCAGAGGUACAGUACCAUCAAAUGCUCCAGGAAGCUCCACUCACUUGCUUUAAGUUAAAACAGUAAAGAAGUCAAUAUUUUAGCAAAUCUAAGAUUAUGAGUUUGGCCCCUUGUGUCUUCAACGAUCCAAGGUUAAGCAAUAUUGCACCAGCUAAGCAAAAAUAAAUCAGGACACCUCAAGAAAG